GACGAACGCUGGCGGCGUGCUUAACACAUGCAAGUCGAACGGGCCUGUCUUCUUUUUUGGGGGUGGGUUGAGUGGCGAACGGGUGAGUAUCACGUGAGUAACCUGCCCUUCGGUCCUGGAUAACCGCUUGAAAGGGCGGCUAAUACGGGGUGGUCCGGUUGGUCCGCAUGGGCUGGUCGGGAUAGAUUCACUGUUUUUGGUGUUUCGGCGGGGGAUGGGCUCGCGGCCUAUCAGCUUGUUGGUGGGGUGAUGGCCUACCAGGGCGGUGACGGGUAGCCGGCCUGGGAGGGUGGGCGGCCACACUGGGACUGCGAUACGGCCCAGACUCCUGCGGGAGGCAGCAGUGGGGGGUAUUGCACAAUGGGCGGAAGCCUGAUGCAGCGACGUCGCGUGAGGGAUGGAGGCCUUCGGGUUGUGAACCUCUGUUUCCGGUGGUGAAGGCCCUGUCCGUGUGGUGGGGUUGACGGUAGCCGGGGAUGAAGCGCCGGCUAACUACGUG
rnacentral:rRNA from 1 species